rnacentral:lncRNA from 1 species
CCACUGAGCAAGGGCAGGGAUCGAACCCGCAACCUCAUGGUUCCUAGUCGGAUUCGUUAACCACUGCGCCACGAUGGGAACUCCUAGACUAUUCUUUAUACCUUAUCUGAAUUCUCAAUAGUUUUUCUUUCCCAUUAUACAUACUUCUAUUACUUUUCCUCUUUGUCCCCGAAGUCAGGGAUCUGAGUUUACAUCAUUAUUAGCUCAUUUUGUUAUAAUUAUCCUCUGAAAGUCACUCUUUCACAAGAUAUAAAGGAAAGUGAGAUUUUAAUACCAGAGGGCUCCAAAGAUGUAUUCUCAAAAUGACUUCGUUUUGAGCUACAACUUACACUGCAGCUGUCUUUUUAAUUCUUUUUAAUAAUUCUUUGUUACAGUGUUUUUUACUUUGUUACAGUGUUUCUACCAAAUUCAGAGUCCUAAACCCAGAACAAAGAGAGAGGCUUUGAAGGAAGCAACUGGCUAAAGUUCAACAAUAUUCCACAUGUAAGAUCCAUAGACACGGAGUGUUAGUUUUGUUAUAACAUGCAUGUCACAUUCUGGGGGAGCCUGGAUCUGACUGCCUCGUCUUUUCAUGAUUCAAUUUUUCUGUUCUCAAAUUUUUGUGUUACCAAACAUUGCACAGCAAUGAGACUCCUCUUGAACCAACAACUCUCCAUUUCUCAGGUACCACUUCCUUCAUCUAUAACAUCUAGUCCUGGAGUUUCCAUCAUAGCUCAGCGGUUAACAAACCCGACUAGUAUCCAUGAGGAUGUGGGUUCGAUCCCUGGCCUUGCUCAGUGGAUGAAGGAUCUGCCACUGCUGUGGGCUGUGAUGUUACAUUCCAGACUUGGCUCGGAUCUGGCGUUGCUGUGGCUGUGGUGUAGGCCGGCAGCUAUAGCUCCGAGUAGACCCCUAGCCUGGGAACCUCCAUACACCAUGAGUGUGGCCCUAAAAAGACAUAAAUAAAUAAAUGAAUAAAUAAAAUCUGGUCCUGCCUAGAACGAAUGGUCAGUGCUCCUGAGAGUUACCUGUUUGGUGUUUGGAUAGUACAGUCCCCUGGUGGGGCACAGACACGAGGGAAAAUGCAAACAGUUUUUUUUUUUUCUUUUUUUAAACCCUCAUACUGUCAGCUCUAGAAAAAGAUACAGCUCAAACUUAACCUGCGUAUAGUCAUUAUAUACGGAUUUUAGACUUUGAUCUUUUGUUCUUUUUUUUCUUUUUAGGGCCACACCCACAGCAUAGGGAGGUUCCUAGGCUAGGGGUCGAAUCGGAGCUGCAGCUGCUGGUCUCCAUCACAGCCACACCAGAUCUGAGCCACAUCUGCCACUUGCAUCCCAGCUUGUGACAAUGCCGGAUUCUCACCCCCCCUGAGCGAGGCCAGGGCUCAAACCCACAUCCUCAUGGAUACUAGCUGGGCUCUUAAUGCUUUGAGCCACAAUGGGAACUCCCACUGGUUUUCUGAAUGGUGGAGAACUGCCUAUCAAGGUGUGAAGAAGUAAAAGUAAGGAGAGCCGAACUGUGGUGUCAUUAGAACGACUUAGUUCUUGCCCCGCUCUGCACAUUUCCCAUAAGAACAAAAACAAUUCAAAACAACCACGACACCGACCCAAUGCACUGACUUACAAACUGAAACUAACAAAAACCACUAUGAUUUCUACCAAAAGAGUCCGAUAAGUUCCACCAGCUCGUUUACCAAUUCCCGUAGCACAGCAAAGGGUCCCGGGGCGUGUUCUUUGGUUCUAGCAUUUCUGCAAUUUGUGAAUAGUAAGACCUCGUUGUAUUUGCUCAUUAUCUACACAACCUGUCCAGGGCUUAAACACACUCAAUGAAUGCACUGGCCUUUUUGGUUUUCUCAACUUCUCAAGGUACAAUGUAACGCCUGUGAUAAACCUUGCCAGACCAGGAGCUACAGGUUUGCACUGGGCUACUGAGACUAUGCCACUGAGAGAUUCGGUGUGAAAAGAGAUGUAUCCUGGGUGAUUUGACUCACAAAGUGUAAAGGUUAAAUCCAUUCCCAAGAUAGGCAACAUUUGUCUUCUAAUGGGACAAGUGCUUACUAGCCUUUCUCCAACCGCAUCACAGAGAAAAAGGACUAAGAAUACAAAAAGAGGGUUUGGGUAGUAGCUUGAAGUUUAAAAAUUUUGAUUCAUCCACUGCUUAGCUUCUUUUUCCCCUUAUUUAAGAGGCUGACUCUGUGCCCAGAGGCACAGUAAUAUUUAUGGGCCCCUUUUCAGUGCUUAGAACGAGAAUAAUCAUAACACAUAUUUGCCCUUCUCCAACCAUCUGCCUUCCAUCUGAAACCCCACAGCCUCCCGGUACUUACUUUUAUCCUCAUCGUAUGACCCUCCAGAGCUAUUGCUGUAUCUUGACUCCAGACGGGUGUGGGCUCUGAUGACGUUACUAAACCUUCAAAUACAAGAACAGCUAGCAUGAGAUAUUGACACGCGCGUGGAUGUGCUGUGACACAAAAACACAUACUAUUAUUUCUGGGCUGAUUUUUUGGCAGCUAGUUCUGAUGAUGCUUUUCCUAAAAGAACACUGGAGAAAGUGUACAAGAAAUACUCCCUUUGUCCUCGAGAGAGCCAAUGGUCACUUUUGCUAAGGAGCACAAGUUCAAACCUUGAAAAGACAAACUUUUUUUUUUUUUUUUUAAAUCUUUCUAGGUCUUCACUCAUGGCAUAUGGAAGUUCCCAGGCUAGGGGUCAAAUGAGAGCCGUAGCUGCCGGCCUUCGCCACAGCUACAGCAAUGCAGGAUCCAAGCUCCAUCUGCGACCUACACCACAGUUCACAGCAAUACUGGAUCCUUAACCCAGGGAGGGAGGACAGGAAUCGAACCCACAUCCUCAUGGAUACUAGUUGGGUUCAUCCCCACUGUUUAUUUUUUUGGGAACUCCGAAAAGACAAACAUCUUUAAGGCUAAUAUUCUAAUUACACUAGAAAAUGAUAACAUUUGUUUGGAAAGAAAAUGAGCAUGAUACAGACUAAUAUGAACCCUUUACUGACAUGGCAACCUGGCGUAUGAUAGGUGGUCCAGAAAAAAACUGCUGAAUAAUCAAACAAGUGAAAGGAGACAGAAAUUAGAUACACAAAAAAUAGUUUCAUAACACAUUUUGGACUUGGCCAGCUUUAAAGUUUUCCUGAAAGAGGUACUGAUGAAUGAUUUAACCAGAGGGACUCUUUCUGAUUGUCUGUCUGGUGGCUUAAGAAGUAAUGAUAAUGAUGAUAAUAAGAAGAAGAAAAGGUUGAGAUAAAAAUAAUUUCACAUAUACUCUCUCAUUUAAUCUCACUCAUCUUCGAGGUAAGCAUAAUUACUAUGCAAACAAGGGAACAGACUGAGUGAGGCCACACAACUUGUCCUAUGUCAGCCCGAGGGAGGUGGCAGCACCGAGAUGCUUGGACUGCCAGGCUGCCUCUGAGAAGGGGGAGAGGCGCCCGCAGGCUGAGCUCUCACUCAUGUGACCCUGGCCCAGACCUUCCCCUUCCACACUUGCCAAAAAGGAGUAAUAAUAACAUUUCACCAUUUCUUUGUUGGGUAUGUUGUGAGAAUCAAAAGACAUGAUGCAAGAAUGUUCCCCAAACUGCGAGACGCCAUCCAACUAUGAGGUAUUCAUUACUAUGCUUCUGCCUUGAAUUUCUAGAAUGCAGGUGCCUUUUCAGGGCACCGGACUGAUCAAAGAGCUGGAAGGUCAGGCAAGGGUAUAACUGAGGGGAAGUAUGGGUGAAGUGAAAUAGAAAAACACUUGUCCUUUAUAUAAAAAGAUAGAGAGCAGCGUUUAUCUAACACACACACACACACACACACACACACAUACACACACACACAGAGCCAAAGCAAAGAACUCAAGUCAUCUAGAAAUAGCUGGAGAAGUCAAGCCAAAGUCGUGUGUGCUCCUCCAUGACUGUGUGUCCUGCCUGAUUCCAGAUCAACUCUUGCUUCCUCUGGAACAUCAGUCAAUGCAGGGCUCCCGCGGUUCUCUCCCAGGAAAGAGCACUGGAGGUACCGUGAAGAUGCUCCCUUGUCCCAGGUGUAAAACCUCCAAACACUGCGACAGUGGUUUGGCUUUGCUGAGUACACACGCGUACGGCCUCUAAUGACCAGCAAGACCAGAACGCCUUUGGUUUUAUUCACUCUGCAGGUAUUUAGAGCAGUUUUUUUUCUUUUUUCUUUUGAUCCUGACAAGCCAUCGCUCCCCCCAGUAACUUUAUAUUUCAAACAGUCUUCAUUCUCAUAUCUCUGGGGCUAUUACUUUGUGGAUCCAGCAAACAGAAGCUGGAGGACAUCUGCUUAGUUUCAUACACAUCGGGCCACGUGAUUGUCUGCAUCAGACGGGUACGUAUGAAAUUGGAAAAGCGACAAACCUACGACCUUCUAACGAAGUUCUUCAAUCAUGUUUAUGCUGAUAAAUGCAAAGUUAGAAACAGCAUAUGCGGAGCCCAGACAUGAUUCAGCAAGGAACCAAAACAGGGUGAUGCAAGAACUCCACAUCUGGAGAUUUCCAUGGGACGGGGAGCUGGAUGGCCCUUCUUGCUGCUCAAGAAUUGUGAUCUAGGUCGGUUUUACAAUCGUGCUCGGGCAAGCCAGGCAGGGAAGGCUUGCAGAAUGGGUGACAAUUCUUCUCUUUUCCUUUUGAGAUAGAUCUGAAGGAUUGCUGGGAGGAGUUUAUGAGGCCGAGGUGAGGGGGAAGAGCAAGUCUCUUCCAGGCUCCCCUCCUUAUUCUGGAGACGAUAGAAACCACUGUACAGUCAAGUGUACCCUUGGCAACCGGGAGAAGUAAAAACCGACUCCCAGGAGUAAAAUCUGUCAUGUUCCUUUGCUUUCCUGGGUUGAAGAAACUAACAUGGGGUCCAGGUCAUAGAGGAAUUUCAAGGCCUUAAACAGACUGACUAGUCUUAUGAAAGUACAUGUCUUAGAAAUGUACCAUAAAAUAGCUCUGCUCAGAGAAAAACUAGAAGCGGGCAGUGUUGCCGAAAGUUUUUUCUUGCUGCUUUUGCUCAAAUUAAUACUCAGGUAACUUUCUGUAGCUUAUUAAUCUCUACCCCAAUAUCAACACAGAUUACCUGAAACUUACAUAGUUGAGGUUUUUUACUUUUAGUUCCCUACCAAAAAUCUUUUCAUGGAGCUACAAAUAUAGUAAGAUGGGCUUUAAUAAGGCUUGAAAUACUUAAAAGGUUGGUUUCUGCAUAUUUUACAAAUGCUGUUUUAUUUUAAUUUUAAUUUUUUAUUUUUUUUGGUCUUUUUGCCAUUUCUUGGGCUGCUUCUGUGGCAUAUGGAGGUUCCCAGGCUAGGGAUCCAAUCAGAGCUGUAGCCGCCAGCCUACGCCAGAGCCACAGCAACUCGGGAUCCAAGCCUUGUCUGCAACCUGCACCACAGCUCACGGCAACGCUGGAUCCUUAACCCACUGAGCGAGGCCAGGGAUCGAACCUGCAACCUCAUGGUUCCUAGUCAGAUUCGCUAACCCCUGAGCCACAAUGGGAACUCCAUAAAUUGCUAUUUUAAUUAAAAUAUAUGUUCCCUUUAUUGUUUCAUUUUAGAAAAAUGACAUGAUAAAUACUUCUUAGAGCUUAGGGAUACUUUUUAAGCAGCUUCUGAUGAAUCAUUUUUGUUUGGUCUUUUGACAUACUGAAAAUUACAAAAUUUGCUCUGUUUUUCUUUUUUUACUUUGUUGAGGAACUCAGAGUUAGGUUAAUAUUAACUUUUAGGAGUUUUCCUUAGGACUUUUGGCCUAGUUAUCUUACUUUCCUUCUAGUUUGACUCUUGCUGUUUUACCCUGGUUUUAAUGGUUCUUUUACGAUAAGCUAUCUGAAUUGUCAGUAGGUAUGGUAUUAUUAAAUAUUUUUGAGUUACAUCAAAGACCCCUUAAGGAGUUGUGAAGAAUAUGGCAUCAGGGCUGCCGCUUUGCACAACUCCAGGGCGCCCCCUGGAGCCCAAUACUGUAUUCUAGUGACCAGCACCCCCAGGAAUUGUGUCAGUAUUUCUGACCAAUAUUAUCUCUGUACACUCUGUCUAGAAGGAUUGUAAAGGGAAGAAUAAAUAACUGCCUUUGUAAUGAGGUUAGCAAGGGGGGUGGGGCUGGAUGGUGUUUGGACAGCUUAUGCACCUCUGGGGCUGUGAUGUUUCUCUAACUGUCAUUCACAUACUGAAGAAACAUUUUAAAAAUGAUACUUUGUGUAGCCUUGUAGGCUAAUACUGAGGAUAGAAAUGGGUAUGAGAAUUAUAGAAUCUGUUUUCUAAUAAUGGAAGUCUAUGGGUUAAGGCGCAAGCACGUGUACAGGUCCCUAUAAAUCAACAUGGCAGGAUCCACAGGGGAGAUGGAUGAUGAGCAGAUUGCAGAGAAAAAAGGUACUACAGGCUGAGGGCACAGUCUACUUUCAAAGAAAUAAGAGACUAUGUUAGGGAAAGAGUGUCAGUGGAAUACAGGGUCAGUGGGACAGGACGACCCUUUGGCGUAGAAUAUUAAUAUAGGUACAAUCAUACAGGGAUGUAUGUGAUCAAUUAAUGUGUCUCUGGGUAGAUUAAAUAGAUACAGUCGAUAUGAAUGAAUUAUAUGUGUAUGAAUAUGUAAAAAUGUGGGUAGAUCACUGCAUCAGGCUUUCCAAUGGCCAACAGAGAUGCGGUGACGGAGCAGGAAAGCAAGAGAUAAACAAGAAACGCUCUCUCAUAGCUGUUUUCUGGUCUUAAUGUAAUAGUGGUAAGUGGCUUCUUCAUUUGACAGACCACGAUGAAACAUUUAGGCAGGACACUCAGAACUUCUGGUCCUAAAGGGGUCUUUGUGAUGAGAUGUUAAUAUAUAGAAAGGUAUCACCUUUCCACCUUAAUGUAAUUACGAUGAAAAAUUCAGACUACACAAUAAAUGGUAAAGAAUGUUACAUUCCCACCAGAAAGUAGAAAUAUCUUUAGAAAAAUAUAUGAUUAUUAUUAUUAUUUUUUACCGUGAGGGAAUAGCCCAAAGAAGGUACUGGCAAACAGAGAUUAAAAAUAACACGUUAACUAACAAUCUUGUACUCUGCCACUGAUGUAUGGAGUAUGAUAACCUCCAUCCAUUUCUGAGAAAGACCUUUAACAGAGAACUAUAAAGGAAAAAGUCUAUAAUUCAUGAUCUACUGAAUUAGGGCUGCAAUAGCAAUUUUUUUGGGGCAAUAGAAAUUCCCAGGCUAGGGGUCAAACUGGAGCUGCAGCUGCCAGCCUACACCAAAGCCACAGCAAUGCGGGAUCUGAGCCAUGUCUGUGACCUAAACCACAGCUCACGGCAGUGCCAGAUCCUUAACCCACGGAGCGAGGCCAGGGAUUGAACCCACAUCCUCAUGAUACUGAGACACAAUGGGAACUCUGAGUUAGUUUUCUUAUCUGAAGGCAAGCUUAUAUGGGUGAGCAUCUGCCUAAAGGCAGUGCAGCAACCCAAUAACGAAUGUGCUGAGAACUUGGUAAGAGGCUAAAUUAGAGAAUGAACUUGCAGAACUCCAGCCUUAGAUCAGAUCAUCUUCCACCUGUAGCCCCUGGUAUAUUCUGUCGGAUUCAUUUUCACUGCACUGUGAUAGGAACUCCCCUUAUAAUUAAUUUCUUAAGUGAAAGAGUUCCCUGCUACUUUUCACUAGAAAACACUCAGCUGAAGGAGUUUUCAACACCAUGAAGUUUUCAAUCAUCCUAAUUUUUAUUUUUUUAUUUAUUUUUUUUUUUGUCUUCUUUUUUUUGGCCAGUGGCAUAUG